GAAAUGCGAUAAGUAAUGUGAAUUGUAGAAUUCCGUGAAUCAUCGAAUCUUUGAACGCACAUUGCGCCCUCUGGCAUUCCGGGGGGCAUGCCUGUCCGAGCGUCAUUACGCACCCUCAAGCCCGGCUUGUGUGAUGGGCCCCGGCGUCUCGUUCGCGAGACGGGCCCGAAAGGCAGCGGCGGCGUCGACCCGAUGAGCCCGAGCGUAUGGGGACUUCUGUCACACGUUCGCGGUGCGGACCGGCGCCUGCUUGACUUUUCUGAUUAUCCAGGUUGACCUCGGAUCAGGUAGGGAUACCCGCUGAACUUAAGC
rnacentral:misc_RNA from 1 species